rnacentral:lncRNA from 1 species
GGAAGUUCUUUGUCAAUCAGUGUUAUUUAUGAUGUGGUCAUAAAUCUUACCGCCGUAGCCUUCACUGAGCAAAUACGCGCUCACUGACAGGUGAUCUAGAGGAAUAUUUUCCUGAUACUGAAGAAGAUUCUUGUCAAAAUGAAGGGAAAUAGAUGAUGGCAUUCCAUGCAUUCCACAGGUACUGAAGAUAAGCAACAGAAGAACUAAAGAUUUGGAGCUGAAUGUGCAUAGAAGUACAUGCAUUCAAGUCCUGGGAUAACAACUUUUCCAAACCUCAUGAGAGCAGCGGUUUGGAGACACAGGACAAAUGCUCUUCCAAAGAGGUGGAGGAAGAGAAGAAAACCCUUCCCAUCUGCACUGAGAGCAUGGGAGCCAAGUUUCUGCCUGGAACGAUCUGAGGGGCUGAUGUACAGUUAUCCAGAAAUACAGCAUUUCAUCAUUUACUUCAAAGGACUACCACGGAAAGAGAGCAAAAGUUUCAGGUCACACUCCAGAGGAAGAAUUCACUUUUCCUUCGUCAUUCAAAAGCUUACUAAGGGGCGUAAUACUAUUCCAGAGCCAAGGCACCAGGAGGAAUUCAUCACAUUGUUAAUGCUUUCCGUUGGUAAGACUCGUCUUUCACCGCACCAUGUAAAUAGGCAUAAAUACAGAUCAAAAAGGAUUACUCUUUAAUGGAAUCUGCAAUAUAUAUUCAGUUCUUUAGGCACAAGGAAAAUACCUGUAUAGGAAGAACACAUCUU